rnacentral:rRNA from 1 species
UACGGGGGGAGCAAACGUUGUUCGGAAUCACUGGGCGUAAAGGGCGUGUAGGCGGCUGAAUAAGUGGGAUGUUAAAUCCCCCGGCUCAACCGGGGACCUGCAUCUCAUACUGUUCAGCUCGAGCACAUCAGAGGAGACUGGAAUUCCCGGUGUAGCGGUGAAAUGCGUAGAUAUCGAGAGGAACACCUGCGGCGAAGGCGGGUUGCUGGGCUGACACUGACGCUGAGGCGCGAAAGCUAGGGGAGCGAACGGG